AAAAAUGCAAUGAAAAGGAAGAGUACUAUAUAAUCGGAAGCAAAGAGAGAGAACGAUGCUGGGAAGUUCUCGUGAAGAUUUGUAGGAAUGUAGCCUUGGAGCAGUGAACUGAAAUCAAAGGAGAGAUCUAAAGAGAGUAGGCUUCAUCGGUAGCCCACCGUUAUGGGGGCGAUAAUAUCGGAUUAUAUCUCGUAUUAUUUGAGCGUGCGCAAGCAAAAUUAGGUGGUACCGCGGAGCAACCCUUCGUCCUAAAU
rnacentral:ncRNA from 1 species